AGUUCGGACUGUAGGCUGCAACUCGCCUACACGAAGUUGGAAUCGCUAGUAAUCGUGGAUCAGCAUGCCACGGUGAAUACGUUCCCGGGUCUUGUACACACCGCCCGUCACACCAUGGGAGCUGGUAACACCCGAAGUCAGUAGUCUAACCGCAAGGAGGACGCUGCCGAAGGUGGGAUUAGCGACUGGGGUGAAGUCGUAACAAGGUAGC
rnacentral:rRNA from 1 species